GACGAACGCUGGCGGCGUGCUUAACACAUGCAAGUCGAACGGAAAGUCCCUUCUUUGUGGGGGUGCUCGAGUGGCGAACGGGUGAGUAACACGUGAGUAACCUGCCGUUGACUUUGGUAUAACUUCGUGAAACUGUGGCUAAUACCGGGUAGGAGCUCCUGCUGCAGUGUGGGGGUUGGUAUGUUUGGGCGGUUGGGUGUGUGCUCGCGUCUUCUCAGCUUGUGGGUGGGGUAGUGGCUGACCAAGGCUUUGACGGGUAGCCGGCCUGAGAGGGUGACCGGCCACAUUGGGACUGAGAUACGGCCCAGACUCCUACGGGAGGCAGCAGUGGGGAAUAUUGCACAAUGGGCGGAAGCCUGAUGCAGCAACGCCGCGUGCGGGAUGACGGCCUUCGGGUUGUAAACCGCUUUCGCCUGUGACGAAGCGUGAGUGACGGUAAUGGGUAAAGAAGCACCGGCUAACUACGUG
rnacentral:rRNA from 1 species